rnacentral:lncRNA from 1 species
CCCACCCCAGAGGGAAUGUUGGUGUUUUACUUUUUUACUUCUCAAUUUUUUAAUCUCCACUUUCUUGACUUCCUCUAGGACGUUCACGACGUCUCUAUUGUGGCACACACAUCAGAUGAGGUCUCUGCAGGGGCAGAUUGAAGAGACAUUUCACCAGAAGCACAGGUUUUUCUUCAUAAUCAUGAGAAACAAGAAUAGCAUCUGUCUUCCGAAAUGGAUCUUGAAAUGGCAGAAGACAAGGUGGGAAAUGGGAUUUUCACCGAGGAAGAAAGGCAGCCAUGGGCACCUGCGGGGACAUUGUGCUUCAAGAUCCUAUUUGUGUGGAACCAGGGAAAGAAGUAAAAUGUAGAUUCCCCUGGCUCGUUGAUAACUUUUUGGCCAAUAGGAGUUGCAGCAGAGGUCAGAGGGCCUUGCCAAAGCAUUGCUUAUAUAUGAUCAUGCUGCUGUACAUUACCCCAUUCUCAUCAGGCUUCCCUCAUCCAAAAGUUUCCCCAAGCACUCCAUGAACUCAGAAAUUAUUUGGGAGAAUCUCAGUGGCCUUAAAGGCGAGUUCUCCAUCACUGCCACCACCACCGCCAUCAAUGUCACUUCAAUCAUCAAUACUACUAUACCAUCAUCAUAAAAAAUCAUUCUUUAAAUCACUGUCAUCAUCAUCGUAAUUAUCAAAAAUGGUCUGUACAUGGACCAUGCUGAGGAUCCUGACUUCAAAGAAUGUGAUAAAAGCACCUACCAGGAAAGAAAUAUUGAAGCUGGCCUGGAUUCCUGGAGAUAUUAUUCAUGCCUCAUAAAGUCACCCUAAAUUUCUUUUGGCCAUCUCAAGAGAUUCAAGAUUGUGUCCAAACAGAAGACUUUUGCACUUCAGGGUGUGGGGAGGUUGGUUUACAGACAGAGUGGAGCUGAAGAUAACCGACGUGGGUGCCUCGUGUCUGAGAUUAUCCUGGCCUUGAAGGCUCAAUCCACAGCUUUUCCUAAUUAACAAAGACUGUGUAGAAAGCUGCCCUUGGGCAUCUGUGGGCAGGAAAGCAUCUGCAUGAGCAGAUCGGGAGAGCUUCUUCUCAUCCAGCUGGGUUCUCUGAGAUGUUCUUGGUUGUACUUUAGCAUCCCAGUGUGAAAGGAACUUGGUUUUGCUUUGGCUCUGGAACUAGGGGACCCUGGGUUUCACCAUUCCUGGCUUUUGGUGGUCCUAGGACCUUAGCAUUCCCUGUCAGCAGGGCUGUUAGAAUCUUUUUUGCUCCCUCUCUGCUCUCUCAAGUUGAUCAGUCUCAAAUAGUUUUUAUAGUAAACAGGAAACAGGCAAUGACAUGCCAUGAAACCUCCCUCUCUCUUAUCAAUCACCUAGUCUCAGGUAU